UUUGAGUUAUUAGAUUCCCGUAGCAGCAGUUACUGGCUCUAGGAUUCUGUCUCGGUAAAGCACCUGUCACAACAGCAGGUGUGACACUUUUCUCCGUGUAAUGUUCACUUUGGUCUCCAGAUCUAAAUCCACUAGAUCAGAGGACAGCAUAUAAGAUUUGACCGUUUCCUUCAGUUUCAUUUUCAGUCAGGCUUCUUAAAUGUUUAUUUAAUAUGCAGUACUGAAAGUUUUCAAAGAAAAAUCAGGUAAGUAUGCAAGUGAUGAAAAAUGGAGUGUAAAAACCUUCAGGCCAAUGAUGUGCUCAUAUGACUGUGAGUUUGAAAGUUCUCAUUUAUUUCAGCUACAAUAUAUUCAUGUGGCUUUUAGAACUAUGAUUUAAAAUCUAUUUCAAAUACAUUAUUUCUGAUCACUUAGUAGAUGUUCUCUAAAUGCUGCAGUUGCUCAUAAUGCUUAUAAACUAUUCUAUGUUUAACUUUAUAAUAUUCUUUUUUUGAAAGAGGAUGGAAAGGAGUACAUCUAUCAAGGUCCAAAGCUCACCGGCCUCUCAGAGAUUUCGCUGAGACUUGUUAAACUUUAUGGUGAGAAAUUUGGUACAGAGAAUGUCAAAAUAAUUCAGGAUUUAGACAAGGUAAAUGUCAAAGAGCUUGAUCCCAAAUAUUCUCAUAUCCAAGUCACUUACAUGAAGCCCUACUUUGAUGAUAAAGAACUCACAGAAAGAAAAACUGAAUUUGAAAGAAACCAUAAUAUCAACAGGUUUGUAUUUGAGGCUCCUUAUACAUUGUCAGGCAAAAAGCAAGGCUGUAUAGAGGAACAGUGCAAACGCCGUACAAUCUUGACUACUUCAAACACAUUUCCAUAUGUGAAGAAGAGGAUCACUAUAAACUAUGAACAGCAGAUUCAUUUAAAGACAAUUGAUGUUGCCACUGAUGAAAUAAAAGAUAAAACUGCAGAGCUGCAAAAGCUUUGCUCCUCUGCUGACGUGGACAUGAUUCAGCUCCAACUUAAAUUGCAGGGCUGUGUCAGUACGGGUAAAUGCAGGUCCAUUAGCAUAUACAAAGGCUUUCUUAAAUGACAGUCAAGCUAGCAAGUAUCCAGCCAAAAAUAUAAAUGAGUUGAAAGACAUGUUUAGGAAGUUCAUCCAAGCAUGCAGCAUUGCACUGGAACUAAAUGAGCAGCUGAUUAAAGAGGAUGAGACUGAAUACUAUGAAGGGCUCAAGUCAAAUUUCAGAGACAUGGUGAAAGAAUUGUCUGACAUUAUUCAUGAACAG